rnacentral:rRNA from 1 species
AUAUCAAUAAGCGGAGGAAAAGAAACCAACAGGGAUUGCCCUAGUAACGGCGAGUGAAGCGGCAACAGCUCAAAUUUGAAAUCUGGCCUCGGCCCGAGUUGUAAUUUGUAGAGGAAGCUUUCGGCGCGGCACCUACCGAGUCCCCUGGAACGGGGCGCCAUAGAGGGUGAGAGCCCCGUAUGGUAGGACGCCUAGCCUCUGUAAAGCUCCUUCGACGAGUCGAGUAGUUUGGGAAUGCUGCUCAAAAUGGGAGGUAAAUUUCUUCUAAAGCUAAAUAUUGGCCAGAGACCGAUAGCGCACAAGUAGAGUGAUCGAAAGAUGAAAAGCACUUUGAAAAGAGGGUUAAACAGCACGUGAAAUUGUUGAAAGGGAAGCGCUUGUGACCAGACUUGCGCCAGGCUGAUCAUCCGGUGUUCUCACCGGUGCACUCUGCCUGGCUCAGGCCAGCAUCGGUUUUCGCGGGGGGAGAAAGGCCAGGGGAACGUAGCUCUUCCGGGAGUGUUAUAGCCCCCGGCGCAACGCCCUCGCGGGGACCGAGGUUCGCGCAUCUGCAAGGAUGCUGGCGUAAUGGUCAUCAGCGA